AGUUUGGUGAUUUUUGUAACAUCAUUCUCUGGACCUCCUGAAUGAAGCUGUUUGGAAACAUCGACUUCUUUGGACCUAACAGAGCUUCUUUGAAGAAAGGGUCCUGAGGCUACAAAAUUUGAAAACUGCUGGAAUAAAUGAUCGCCAAGGCCCCUUCCAGUCUGAGACGCUUGGUCUUCUGAAGCCCAGCUCAAGUUUUUCCUCCUCCAGAAAGCCUUUCUUGUUACCCAGUCCUGGGUACUUGAGCUCCAACAAUAAUGAUGAUGGCAGGCAUAUGGUGCCGUCGGUGAGCCAUCCGAUGCCUGCAUGUGUACAUAAGCUGUCUCCCCAGCUAGAAGGAAAGCACAGGAGCCUGCUUCCAAAGAGGGACUGUCCCGUAAUUGAGAGAUGCUCCAAGGCUGACCAUCCUCCUUCUCCUGCUGCACACCCAGCAGCCAUCUAUGGAUGGAUUUGGAGAAUUUCUGGUCAAACCGUAGAGACGGGGUUUCACCGUGUUAGUCAGGAUGGUCUCGAUCUCCUCACCUUGUGAUCCGCCCGCCUCGGCCUCCCAAAGUGCUAGGAUUACAGGCGUGAGCCACCGCGCCCAGCCGAUCUUACUCACUCCUUACAAAACCUCACAGAGGAGGUAUUUUCUUCAACUGAUAGAUUUGAAAACAGGUUCAGUGACCAAUGAAGAGCUGGUGCUCAAACCCAGUUCUUCCUACUUGCAGUCCUGUGCUCUUUCUGCUGCAGUCGUCUGCUCUUUCUCUUGCCAGACAGAUUAUUGAGCACGUGCUGCACUCCUAAUUCCCAUCUUAGAGCCUUGGAACUUUCUCUUCCCUCUGCCUGGGUUGCUCUAUCCCCCCCGAUAACUGCUUGGCCCUCUUUUUUAUUCUGGUCUUGUUUCAACUAGUACUACCUCAGAGAAGCCUUUCCUGACUACUCUCUCUAAAAUAGUCACCCACCAGGUCUCAAUCUCCCUAUCUUGCUUUAUAUUUUUUUCAUAGCAUCUGUUGCAAUUGAAUAUUAUAUUAUAGAGUCGUUAUGUUUAUUGCCUAUCUUUCAUGUGGAAUGUGAGUGCUGGGAGAACAGGGGUCUGUUGCAUUUGUUCAUCUCCAUAUCGCCAGUGCCUUGGUAGUGGCUUGCACACAGAAGGCAUCCUGGAAAUGUUUGUUGAAUGAGUGCUAGGCUGGCUGCUAAUAGUGGUGCUAGGAUGAAGAAGACCCGGUCCUUGCCUUCUAGGCACUCACAGUAGUUGGGAGGUGUUAACAGAUCAACAUGUUGAAUGCUGUGAGUGGAGAAGUCACAGAGGGCUGAGGGAGCUCAGAGAGGGCCCAACUUUGACAGGGGGUGGGGUGGUCAGGGAAAGUUUGUGGAAGCAACUGCCAUCCCUCCACCUACCCUGUCAUGGGCCAUGGAGCACGGAGCAGAAGAUUUGCUUUGUAAGGAUGUGCACAGUUGGGAGAGGGAGUUGGGACACCCCCUCACCCCAAGGAACUUGUCAGAAAAGAGUUAGCAAGAGUCUUUUCCCAAAAUUACUCAUAAGGGCAAUACUCUGUGCAUGUGUGCAGCCCCACUCCUUGGGUAUAGGGAGAGGUGGAGUCUCAACCCCAGUGGCAGGAUUGCAGACCCAGAUUAGGAAAAGGUGGCUACAGAACAGAGUGCCCAGGGCCAUGGGGGGUUCCCAGAGGGGUUCUGGACUGGUCAGCCUUGCAGAGCCCUGUCUUCUUCUCCCCUGCCUCUGCCUGGCUCACCCAGCCUGCUCACCAGAGUUUGUGUAGCUCCCAAGGAGAGCCAGAUCUAUGCGGAGCCAACCCUGGCUUCCAGUCCUGGCUGCUGCACUGCUGAAGGGGCUGUGAGCUGCAGUCCCAGCCUCAGUGGCAGAUGGGCAUUGCCCACAGAGGCUGAGUUCAGCCCAGAGACUGAGAAGAGGAACUAGGAAGGAAAAACAUGCUCUUUCUUUCUUUCCCAGAAGGAUGGCAGGCUGGCCCAGCAGUACAGGAGAGAAUGACCCUCAUGCUGAGGGUGAAAUGGGGGAGCAGUGGAGGUGGGCUUCUGACUCGAACACCCUUUGGCUCUGGGGCCUUGGGAAAGACACACAAUUCUUGGAGCAUUGGCAUCCUUGUCUGUUGAAGAUAUGAGAUAAUGCCCACCUCUUGGGUUUGGUGUGGGAAUUAACUGAUGUAACAUAUGUGAGGUUCCUGGCACAGGGUCUGUCACGUGGAAGACAUGUUUGCUUUCCUGCCCCUUCCCACGGUCAGUGCAGCAGGGAGCAUAUACUUUUAGAAGUGUGUUUGUAUUUACAAUUUGUCCUCUUUUGGCACCUCAGAUAAUAUAUCUCCAUUUUAGAACUUCUCACACCAUGAGAAUCUCACUACCUAUAUAAAUACUUGCCUUUUUGUUAUCCAAAAGCUGCAUUAAAAUUUGAUCUCAUGAUUUUAAUCACUGAUACUUAUUUUUUACAAACUCAACAUUUAGGAAAAUAGGAAUUUGACCAAAGUUGUUCUAAAGCAAGACCUCAGAUGACUCCAUAAAGUUAAUAAUGUAAGCAGCCAGUGUCCUGGCAGAUAAAAGACUCUGUAGGCCAAUCCCUGUGGGCCAGUGAGAAGGUGGAUAAAUGGCCUAGGUUGUGUGUGUAAGUGUGGACAUAGACUUCUUUAAGAUGUUAAAUUCUGCGGGUUUUUCUUGAGCACUGUCCUGUGCUUUAGCAUUGUCCUUGCUCCUAGAGGCCUGAAGAUGACCCAUCAGCCUUGGUCUCCCUCUUCAGAGCAGGACUUGCCUUCUAGAGGUCAGGAGAGUGGGGCAGCCUGGGUGGAGGUGGGGGGCCUGUUCCAGCUGCCCAUGGCCUUAGAUAACUGAUCACUGGGCUUGUCUUAGGAGCCAGGGCCCCACUUGGAGUGUUGGUUUCUUUUGCAUUAGGGGAAGCCAGCAUUCCAGAGGAUACUGGAGAAGAGUGGGUGCACUCUUGGUUACCCAGUUUGCUAAAACCUCCCAAGUCCACCCUUUUCCUUAGCUGGCUCUUGUUCAAGGGGGAUCUUAGCCUCCACCACUGGUUUGCUUCUGCUGGAGUCUCCCUGGCCCCAGCUCCUUCCCUUUAACUCCUACUAUUCCUCUUCAGGGACCUAGGAUCAGCUGCCCCCAAUCUCACCCUUCCUGACUGCGCCCACCAUUAUCAAUGUGGCAGAAUUUGAAACCUUCCAUAUUCUGACUGCUGUAGAGCCAGGCCUUUUCUUCAAAACUCCCAUGAGAAAAACCGACCUCCACUCUUCUCAGAAUAAAAGCUUUCUCUUUUCACCUCCUGCUGCCCUCUGAUCUCAAGAGGCUCAGUAAAAUAGGAGUUAAGCACCCCAGGGCUACACAGGGUUUUUUUAUUCUCACUCCCUCAGUUCCAUGGCCCUCACUGGGAUGAGUAACUUCCAGGGUUGCCUGCCUGGGCCUGCAGGCCUGUACGCCAAGUGAGUAGGGCAGGCAGGGGGAUGGAAAGUGGGGAUGCAGGCCUCAUUUAAGAGGCCAGCAUCCCAGCAAUCAGGGCCUGGCUGACAGGCUCCUAGACACAGAGACCAAACCUGGAAGCCCCAUAAGGGGCAAAUGUGUAUCGCAUUAACUAUACCCCCAAGCCCACAGACACACAGCCAGGUGAACAUCAGUGUGAUCCCAGAGAGUGGCCAGGACAGAUGGGGGAGCAGCUCAUAUCACUAGGAAAAUAAAAAGGUAAUUUU